GCUCGACAUUAAUGGUUGUCCGACUGCCCGGGACAACCAAAAGUUUGGUCAGGGCAAGUGAAUUUCAAAAGAACUUGUCCGACAGGGCAAGUGAAAAAAAUCAUAAGUAAACAUAUAAAAUUCCAAUAUUAUGACCAAUAAUCCUUGCAAAUUACAAUGUCAAUCUUAAUUAGACUUAAUUAGAACGGAUCACAUUUGUGGAGACGAUAAAUAACGAACCUCACAGCAGGGGCAAUUGUACAUGUACACAGGCUAUCCAGUUGUCUGAUGAAUAUGUCAAAACUUGAUUAACAUUAUUAAUUAUGUCAACACCUCUUCUUAUUAAAGGUGUUCAAACCCUGUUAAAGUUCAAAUCACAGCCUUGAACUUUGUUUAAUUUAGCCGUCUAAACAUUUGCCGAUUUCUGGCUGUUUAUUUUUGCUGUUAAAAUCUAAAAUUUAUCGUAUAUCCUCAAAGAAAAAACGUUUCUCCUGUAGAUAAUUCUAAAAAUAAUAACAAUUCAUCUGCAAAUGUGAUACAGAGACAUAUCCACAAGGAAAAAAGAUGUAAAUUUAGAAACAAAAUCGGUAAAUGAAAUUGUCACAUAUUUUCGCGACUUAAGAUGUGGUAAACACAAACAA